AGCGUUGUGCAGUGGCACUAUUGUAGCCGACGAGGUUUACCUGAGGUGUGAUUAUUGCUAAUUGAAAAAAAGCCUCUCUAAAUGCUUUGAAAGAAUUAGCUCUUUUGGUAGUAAACAUCUGUACUGGAAAUUGUAGCAACAGAAAAACUCC
rnacentral:snRNA from 1 species